rnacentral:rRNA from 1 species
CCUACGGGUGGCUGCAGUAGGGAAUAUUAGAAAUGGACGAAAGUCUGAUCUAGCGACACCGCGUGUGCGAUGAAGGCCUUCGGGUUGUAAAGCACUUUUUGGAAGGAAUAGGAAGGAAGGUACUUCCAGAAUAAGUCUCGGCUAACUACGUGCCAGCAGCCGCGGUAACACGUAGGAGGCAAACGUUAUCCGGAUUUACUGGGCGUAAAGCGCGUGUAGGUGGUUCUGUAAGUAGGGCGUGAAAGCUCCCGGCUCAACUGGGAGAGGCCGUUCUAAACUGCAGAGCUAGAGGAUGGUAGAGGGAGGUGGAAUUCCAGGUGUAGCGGUGGAAUGCGCAGAUAUCUGGAGGAACACCAGUGGCGAAAGCGGCCUCCUGGACCAUUCCUGACACUCAGACGCGAAAGCUAGGGUAGCAAACGGGAUUAGAUACCCCGGUAGUC